GUAACUACAUAACCUAACCUUGUUAACCUGGCUAGGUUAUGUAGCUAUAUCCAGUAAUUAACUGUCACAAUUACAGUAAGUGUUCAGGCAAGUUGUGUCAGUAAUACCUGGUGGCUGGUCCAUCUCAAUGUAAAAUAUCAAUUCUGUGGAAUAGGGCAUCAUCACAUCCCUCCAGUCGUCAUCUUCUUUCUCCGUAUUCCACACUGUAUUGUACAUUGUCUGUGAGUCCAGUGGCGAACGACACUUUUCUCCCCGUGUGGAAAAUAUUUCUCAAAACGAAGAAAUGAAAAACAUGCACAGUUCUUCUGCUUUUAAUUCUGCCAGCUUUCUCUCCAGCUUUCUACACUGGUCGAGCACAAUUCUUCAGUCCCUGGUCUGAAUACCUGCUUCAGAAUAAUAAGCUGGGUGUGAGUAAAUCUGUAAAAGCACCAGGCUUCACCCAUCUAAAAAUGAGUACUACUUUUUCGAGCAUGUUCCUAAAAAAAUCUCCAGACAGAAUAGAGAGUAGAUACCAGCUCUACAAUCUCCACUCCGUCCCAGCAAAGGCAGAAGAACAGUACGCUUCAUUUCAAGAGCUCUCAGCACACCACCUUUCACUUCAUGCGGGAGAGACCAUCUGUCCGCGCGGCGGGGGGAGACCUAAUCCGACUGAGCCGAGUAGCCUCACAGCUUAGUCGCGUUUUAAGGUCUUAAUAUUUCCAUAGGUACAUUUUUCUGCAUGCUUAUUCGCACAGACACGCUAAAUAAAAUACCACCUCUAUGUUUUCGACCAGGACUUCAGUGCAGCGGCAGGUCAGUGACAAGUGACAUCAUUUUCGAGCACCCCUCUUUCUGCUCCACUGAAUGGCACAGUCCAGCCAUGCUCACGCGCCAGGCCGAACACGCAGACUCCAGAUUUGGGGGCCAAUCGGAACGAAGCGCUUCUUCAACUCUGUUGCCAAAAAUGGCAGGCUCUAUCGAACCAUCCUCAAAGCCAAUUGGGUGAUGUCAUCCUGCAAUGUGAGCAUCCCUGUUGGACUGAUGCAAUACUCUGGUGACACACGUUGUCAUGGCAGCAGGCACCAUGGCUCAGCAUUCUGCGGCCUGGCGGAUAAUGGACGGGCUCUUUAACCCCUUCCUGCCUGAGCUGCUGCAGAAUGACUCAGUCAGAUAGGAUGUCAGUGAGCUGGAUCCACACACCCUUCUCAGAUUUACAGCCUGCAGUGCUGAUUAACCAGCUAUUGAAACUACUGUACAAGCAGCAUAUUAGCUAUGAGAUAAGACGAGAGAUAAGAUAAGAUAAGGGCCGCAAAACAAACAGGGACAUCAGAGGCUUGAUACUGUGGACUGAAGUUUCUAUGAUCUCAGACAGUCUGUUGUUCUCAUCUUUAAAGCUUGGGGAAGCCUUUUAACUUUUAGAAGACAGUUAUCAGCAGCAGAAAUAAAAAUAUGUGUAAUGAAAGGGAUGUUAAGUGA
rnacentral:lncRNA from 1 species